AAUAUAAGUGGACAGAGCAUCCGGUUUCGAAAAGUGCAACCACUGCGGAAGUAACUUAAACCUGCAUUCUAUCUGAAUUCCUGCAGAGGGCGACACGCGUGGUUGCAAAAGAGGUCGGUUUCUAUAGAAGUCUAUGGAGAAAUGAGCCACUUCUCACUUGAUUUAUUACCUCAGUAAACAUCUUCAUAAUGAGUUUAUGGUCUCGAUCGCUAGUUCUAAGUAUUCUGCAAUAGAGAAUUAUAUUCAUUUUUGAAAUUCCGGUCUCGUUGAUUUUAAAAUCGGCGAAAAAGCCGGGGGUGUUACAGGGCGUGGCUAUGAUGUGAUUGACAGUUCUCGGCCUGUCAAUCAUGACAGAGUGUUAGCAAAGCUUGUCCACGGCACGUGAACUUCAUUUUGGGGGUUGACUAUGUUUCAUCCUUGUGGCUGUGACACUUUGGUCGGAUAAUAAUGUCUUGUUCAGCGGUCGGUUGCAUGGCAAGACACUCAAAGGAAUCGCCACCUAAGUUUUUCCGACUUCCUUUUGAUGUGCCAGGCUGAAGCAAUGGUUGGUGAACAUGAGGAGAGUGACCAGAAAAUGGACCCACGAAAAGCCACGUCUGCAGUUCACACUUUGAGGAAGAUCAGUUUUUUAGAGACAACCAGGUAUCCACACUGAAAACUGAAUGAGCAGAGCCUCCAGAAGGAAGACCUGGUGUAUAGAGCCUCCAGAAGGAAGACCUGGUGUACAGAGCGGUGUAUUUGGUGCCAUUUCAUUUGGAUGUGGAAACCAGACUGCGUUGACCACAUCCAAAGUUCUCAAAUGUGUUCUGAUUAUAAUAAUGCCAGAAAAUCAUUCUUCUGCUGAAAGGAUGGACAAACAUUUAGCACUUGGUAGUUAGAGGUUCAAUUUAUUGUGGUUGACUUAGUUUCUGCUGUAGUUUGAUAGUUGAUAGUAGUAACGUUAAUUAGUUGUGUGGAUUAAAACUUUUAUAAAUAUUAAACUGGAAUAAAAUAAUGAAUACACUCUAGCAGUCACCACUUUCACAGGUGAAAGUAUGUUUGGUAAUUUCACAUAAAGGGUCUUGUAUUUUUUAUGUAUUUAUGUACUGUUAGAAUUAAAUAUUGACAUUGC